UACGUAGGCAGCGAGCGUUGUUCGGAGUUACUGGGCGUAAAGGGUGUGUAGGCGGUUCUCUAAGUUUGGUGUGAAAUCUCCCGGCUCAACCGGGAGGGUGCGCCGAAAACUGGAGGCUAGAGUGCGGGAAGGGAGAGUAGAAUUCCUGGUGUAGCGGUGAAAUGCGUAGAUAUCAGGAGGAAUACCGGUGGUGCAGACGGCUCUCUGGACCGCGACUGACGCUGAGACACGAAAGCGUGGGUAGCAAACAGG
rnacentral:rRNA from 1 species